CCGCACGCGUCGGGAGAGCGCGCUGGCCGCAUCGCAACAUACGCCAUGCAAAGCCGCGCCGCCGAAGGGGCACACCCGCAAACUCUCAGGCAAAAGGACCGACCGCGUCGAA
rnacentral:ncRNA from 2 species